rnacentral:lncRNA from 1 species
UGAAACUAAUAUAAAGGUAUACAAAUCUAGAUCUAAAUUGAAAUGAAGUAGAUUUUUAAGUAAAAUAAAGACAUGGUUGGAGAAAGAGACUACCCACUCUUGCUGCAACUUGGUGGAUUGUUUGGUUGAAAUGUAAUUAUGCGAUCUUUUGAAAAGGGAAAGAGGCCCUUAGAUUUUUAAUUUUUUUUCCCUCUUGAAAAUGUGAAUCAAUUAGGAUUCAAACUUGGGACCUCGAGUACCAACCACCAAGCCUUCUGCCACUUACUCUAG